GGUCCUUGUCCUUUGAGAUGCGCCGCUGCCACGUAGGCGACCGCCGCCGCCAACCUGCGUUCACGGAGGCGAGUCGACCACCGCCACCGCAGAAGUUGAAUCCAGGUCAGCAUGGAUUGGAAGCUCAAGCGAUCGAAGAGCAUUCCUAAGCUCAAGAACAGAUCGCCCACGAGUCCGACUAAAGCUAAUUCAUUUGGUUGUCCACUUCCCUCUACUCUGUAUUAGUUUCUCCUCUCUCUUUUUUCUAUGCAAAUGAAACAUUUGUGGUGCAAAAUUAUUGAGAUCAUAGAUGGUUCAGCUUGCCAAACCAAACCAGAUAGACGGAGGAUUUUAUUUUUCUUUGUACAAUGCGAACUUGAUACCGAAGGGAUACACACAAACCAAGGAAAUGUUUUUGGGCGCAAUCAAGGAGGUCAAAGCAAUUGUUCUUGGGCUUGAAUACUAAAGCAAGUUUUCUGUUCGGAGUUCCCAAGGCAGUUUAGCUGUGCUGAGAUUUAUUUAGUUCUGGCGCCAGAAUUCAUCGUUUCUCCAAUCUCAACAUUACAAGACCAUGUUUACUAUGCUGGUCCCUCCUCAAACUGAGAUUUCAAUAUUACUUUCAGGAAAAUAGGUAGUAUUACCUUAUAAGAUUAGUCGCGAUAUGGUAAUAUUGCUGGUUACCAUCGUUUUGGAAAACACUUGACGCAUUGAGGAGACGCCCUUUUCCGAAAACAGAAACGAUCACUAGGAAAACAUUCAGAGUAACCCCAGUACCCAGGCAAAUAUAUCAAAACUGGAAUUUGAUAUGAAUUGGGCGUGCUUUCUAAGAUCUGUUUAAACCGGGUUUAUAUUCUGUGAACUCCAUUUGAAUUUAGUGAUUUUACACCCUUGCAUUUGGAUCCGAGAUUCUAUAUGAAUACUUUUUUAGCAAAUUACCUGUCGAAUUUCUGGUUACUGUGGCAUCUGCAUUAUCUUCUGCCAACAAGAAAUGAAUUAUGUUAUAUGUGUCGUCUUAAUUAUUGUAGUUUCCAGAUGCAAUGCACCAUGAUAUUCAUGGACUCUAGGUUCAGUGCUCUACUGGCUUAGCUUGCAUCCUCCUGGUCAACGUGUUAUCCUUCUUCCUGUUUUUUGACUCUCAAGAGCAGUUAGGUAGAAAUACACAAAAUAAUCCUUGUUAAGGGCAGCAUGCCAAAGAUCUAUUUAAUCCCCCAGAUUCGAACAUAUGUCAGCAUUUGACCCAACAGGAGUAGUUUCAAAAGCAGAAUAUUUUGUUAGUAAAAUAAUAUUUGAUCUGUGUGUGUAUCUUACCCACUUGAUUAUUGAGUACCGUCGGAUGAAGCCCUGACCUGUCGACGGACGGUCGCCGGAGCCAAGGGUUGAAGGAGAUCCAGAGGGAGCUGCCGCCCUGCCGGCGUCACUCACCAUCACAUCACAGGCCUGUUGUCGCAGCCGCCGUUCGUGCUCUACAUCUUCGCGGCUCGUUGCCUCCUCAGCCCCGUCCGCGGUUUCUGCCCUUGGUUUCUGAAGUAGGACCAUUUUUGUCACCCACGAAAUGUGUGUGACGACCAGUAGUUCAACCACCAACUGACACUCAAGAACUCUGCCCAGCACACCAUCUAGAUCCGGAUAAGCUGAAUUGGUGAUGCUGUCGCAAGAAUGAGAACCUCUGAAUUUUGGAACAGGGUUGGUUGAUGCAUUCUUAUUUGGAGACUACAUCUUAUGCGUC